rnacentral:sRNA from 1 species
AGAAGUUCAUUCAAUGGGACUUGCUGUCAGGAAGUUAGACAAAAUGGGGCCUCUGUAGGCAAGGAAGGAAGUCUGAGUGUAUGCCCCAGCUGGGUCGUGUGCCCACAGGGGACGAGGAGGAGGAGGAGGACGGGUCCCGGGAGGAGCGGCUGCCGUCGUGCUUUGACUACGUGAUGCACUUCCUGACGGUGUUCUGGAAGGUGCUCUUUGCCUGUGUGCCCCCCACCGAGUACUGCCACGGCUGGGCCUGCUUUGGCGUCUCCAUCCUGGUCAUCGGCCUGCUCACCGCCCUCAUUGGGGACCUCGCCUCCCACUUCGGCUGCACCGUUGGCCUCAAGGACUCUGUCAAUGCUGUUGUCUUCGUUGCCCUGGGCACCUCCAUCCCUGACACGUUCGCCAGCAAGGUGGCGGCGCUGCAGGACCAGUGCGCCGACGCUUCCAUCGGCAACGUGACCGGCUCCAACGCGGUGAACGUGUUCCUGGGCCUGGGCGUCGCCUGGUCUGUGGCUGCCGUGUACUGGGCGGUGCAGGGCCGCCCCUUCGAGGUGCGCACUGGCACGCUGGCCUUCUCCGUCACGCUCUUCACCGUCUUCGCCUUCGUGGGCAUUGCCGUGCUGC